GCCAAUGAUGAUUAGUUUAAUUUCAACUGAGACGCUUAAUUGCUGCAAUGUUGAUAUGUUUUGAACUAGGACGGUCUGAGGC